GUAAAUUUGAUGAAGUGCAUGAAUUGCUUUCUGACUAUUAUAGGGUAUUAAAAGCUGUUAACUGCAGCAAUUUUCCUAUCAAAUAAAAAAAGGUGUCAUUUACUCCUAAAAUCCUUGAAAAUAUGUACUGCAUUCCUUUGGAGAAGAACCUAGGUCUACUAAUAAUGAUACUUUAAAACAGAUCCACCUUUUGGGAGAAAAAGAAAUACAGAUCAAAAGUCUAAAAAGAAGAAGAUGUUCUCCAAUAACCAGACCUUCCUAGCUUCUGGCCAUCAUUGGGUAGGAGAAACAGCAAGAGCAUGUUUGAAGGAUACAGGCAAACACAAGAAUCUUUUCCUCCCUUUGUGACAUCCCUCUCUGUUAGGUUAACAUAUUCUUUUUCAGGGAUCCAUGGCAAUUUCAUGGAAUUUCCCCCAGCACCUAUAUUAACUGCUCCCCAUCACAGGAACCUUUUUGGAUUAGCAAAUUCUCACUUUCCAGUAAUGGCAGCUAUUCCUCAGUGGUGUUAGUUGACAGUGAUAUAGACCAGCCCCAUAAUUUCACUAUAGAGGGAACUCUUGGUGAGGAGACCUCUUCCAUCACUGCAGGUACCAGAAGACUACUUCUAUCUCAAGAUGGGUCCAGUAGAAAAACCUUCUUAACUUCUUAUCCAACUGACAAAGUGAAGUCCUAGAAAGUUACUAUAACCUUCUCCUUCUGAGGGUGAGAAAUUGCUUACCCUAUGAGUAUUCCUAAAGCUUCAUAUCUAUUGGGUAAAGUAACUUUCUAUUUAUUUUAAGUCUAAAGGAACAAAACUGGAAGAAAAUACUUGACUCUGAUGUCAAGUAUUGCAUGCAAGCAGCCAUUAAAACAAUAUAAAAUACUCUAACAGAUACCAUGUUUGAGAGUUUAACUUUUUGUGUGUGUGUGUGUCUUUCAGGCAAAAAGAACACAUGCAUUACGGAUUCCUUUACCAACAAAAUCAAACAAAACAAAACUAUUUCAUUCAUCACUGUUAAUUUCUCUUAACAGCAGGCUAAGUAUGAGAUCCUAAUAAAAUAAGAAAA